rnacentral:misc_RNA from 1 species
AAGUCGUAACAAGGUUUCCGUAGGUGAACCUGCGGAAGGAUCAUUAACACGUAUCCAACGUUAAACCGUUUAACCCAGAGGAAUGUAGACGAGAGUUCGACUAUCCCAAGGUGUUGAGUGCGCUUUCGAUUUGCAAAAAUGAACGUAAUCAGGGGGUUGUGAAAGUGUUCAACCUGAUUAUUUUUAUCUUUGGAAGUAGAAAGUGUCCGAGAUGCUGUAAGGUAGACUGCUUUAACGAGCGGGUACCAGUAGGCCGACACGGCCGGUCAAGAGGGACGUGUACUCGUUCCUAUAGGAACGACGCCCAGGAUCCGAUACCACCCCUUGAAACGACAGGGUGUCGCGAAAACGUGGUAAGGCAUGAUUUUACUUGUACCGAAAGGUCCAAGUACUAACUGAACAACUGUUAACAAUGGAUAUCUUGGUUCUC